rnacentral:lncRNA from 1 species
UAUGCACUGCAGCCAUUAAAUAGCCCAAAGAUGUAGUCCCAAGAGAACACGGAGACUAUCUUGCCUCCUUCCAUCAUGAAGAUGUCUAGGAGGCCUAAGAAGAAUAGAAAGAAGGUGAAAGAUAAAUCUACCAAAAGUAGCAACAUGCUAGCUAGGACUGGACUGCAAAUGAAAUGCAAGGCAUAUGGCCAAUAUGACCAUAACAAGAGAAUAUACAAGCAAA